CUCCUCCCCGCGCGCCCGGGUCCUAGCGCUCCCGUCUCCCGAGCGCAUGCCCCCGUCCUCCCCGCGACCCCGCGUCCUAGUGCGCCCUGCCACCUGGCAUUUCGCCCUCUAGCGCACGCCACAACCUCUCGUCCCACGUCCCCGGGGCCUAGCGCGCACCGCUGGGUGUCCCCGUUCUCUUAUCGCGCGGCCUCGCCAGGCUCCGAAGAGCCGGCGCCUUUGCCAGGUCUGUGCAAUGGGGCAGGGUCCACUGGGCGUCCACAUGACGGCUUGGGCUCAGUAACUUUGGAACUGAAGCGUUCUGUGAGCCGUUAAUGGGACAGGAAAGAGACUUGAUCGCGGGGGUGAGGUCUCGCGCCCACGAGGCCUCCACCCGRCCUCCUGGGACUCAGCGCGCAGGCAGGGAUGGGCCGGCAGGACAGCCGAAGCAGGGGCCCCGACCAAGCCAACCACCCCGCAUCAGGACCGUGGGGGGUCAGGUCCCAGACUCUGGCAGCUGGUCUGGUGGGUGUCUGUCUUCCCUCCCAGGCGCUGACAGGACUGGCUCUGAAAUGCCCUGCAAGGCUGUGGCCCAGAGCACCGGUGGGCAAAACAGCUGCCCUUGCCCUGGUCCCAUCAGACUCCAAGGAGCUCCUGUGUCCACCUCUGUUCUGCUUGAGCUCAGGGGCUGGUAUGCACAGCCCCUGCCUGGACACUCUGUGGCCAGUGACAUUUCCCUUCACUAGCCAGGAAGCAAGGCCUGCAAGGCAAGUGCAGGAGCUGGACUCAUGUGCACUGCCCAAAUCCGUGGGCUUCCAGGUAACUCGGGGACAUCUCUGCAUGCGAGGGUGAGGGGACAGGAAUGAGGUCAGCAUCAGGUGAGCUUUCUGGGGUCACCUGGCUGCCAGGUGCGGCUUGCCAUUGUGCAGAAGUGCUGGGAAGUGAGGGCCUGAGCCGAGGGGCCAGGACCUGGUAUCCAGGAGCAGCAGCCUGGAGGCAGCUGUCCAGGCCACAGGGUGACUUCCCUGAACUGUGAGACGCUGAGUGCUACCUGGAGGCAGGCCAAGAGAGGUGUCCGGGUCGGGGGACAGGGUGCAUAAGCCACACCUUUUGUUUUCUGCACACCUGGGCUGGGCUGCCCUGGACAGGCUGCCCCUCCUAGGGCUGGCUAAUUCUGGGACUGGCCAAUGACGUCAUGUCCAAAUCACCCAACCUGCGCCCCUCUAUCUUCUUGCCCAUGUGGGGCCACCCACCUGCCCAGUCACCCCAGGGCAGCCAGGGACAGCUCUGUGUCCAGCACCUGCUGAAGGUAUUCAAACUGGCUGAUCCUAAGCCCCCUAUGUGCCCUGCCUGCUCCUUCCUGUGGAGGCCACAGUGGGGGUGCUGCCCGUCGCUCCCCUGCCUGCACUGACCCUGGUGCUUCCCUGAGUGGCCCUGCGUGGAAUGGGGAGCCCCCUCCUCUGGGGUCUGUUAACAAGAGACUGUCUUUCAAUGGCCGGUGUUUCCUGUUCUGCUGACCUCACCACACCUGAACAGUAAUAAAAAUUUU
rnacentral:lncRNA from 1 species